rnacentral:rRNA from 1 species
UACGAAGGGGGGCUAGCGUUGCUCGGAAUCACUGGGCGUAAAGGGUGCGUAGGCGGGUCUUUAAGUCAGGGGUGAAAUCCUGGAACUCAACUCCAGAACUGCCUUUGAUACUGAAGAUCUUGAGUUCGGGAGAGGUGAGUGGAACUGCGAGUGUAGAGGUGAAAUUCGUAGAUAUUCGCAAGAACACCAGUGGCGAAGGCGGCUCACUGGCCCGAUACUGACGCUGAGGUGCGAAAGCGUGGGGAGCAAACAGG